UACGAAGGGUGCAAACGUUGCUCGGAAUUAUUGGGCGUAAAGCGCGCGUAGGCGGCUUGGUCAGUCCCGUGUGAAAUCCCUCGGCUCAACUGAGGAACUGCACGGGAAACUGCCUGGCUUGAGUUCGGGAGAGGGAAGCGGAAUUCCGGGUGUAGCGGUGAAAUGCGUAGAUAUCCGGAGGAACACCGGUGGCGAAGGCGGCUUCCUGGACCGACACUGACGCUGAGGCGCGAAAGCUAGGGGAGCAAACGGG
rnacentral:rRNA from 1 species